AUUGAACGCUGGCGGCAUGCCUUACACAUGCAAGUCGAACGGCAGCACGGGUGCUUGCACCUGGUGGCGAGUGGCGAACGGGUGAGUAAUACAUCGGAACGUACCUUAUCGUGGGGGAUAACGCAGCGAAAGCUGUGCUAAUACCGCAUACGCCCUGAGGGGGAAAGCGGGGGAUCGAAAGACCUCGCGCGACUAGAGCGGCCGAUGCCUGAUUAGCUUGUUGGUGGGGUAAAAGCCCACCAAGGCGACGAUCAGUAGCUGGUCUGAGAGGACGAUCAGCCACACUGGGACUGAGACACGGCCCAGACUCCUACGGGAGGCAGCAGUGGGGAAUUUUGGACAAUGGGGGCAACCCUGAUCCAGCAAUGCCGCGUGGGUGAAGAAGGCCUUCGGGUUGUAAAGCUCUUUUGUCAGGGAAGAAACACCGGCUCUAACACAGUCCGGGAAUGACGGUACCUGAAGAAUAAGCACCGGCUAACUACGUGCCAGCAGCCGCAGUAA
rnacentral:rRNA from 1 species